UCAACGCAAGCCGGAACCUCCACCACGUGCUCGAAUGAGGUGUGUUGAAGUCGGGGGAAACCCUCCCGUGAACCAACGGGAUAGAGAGAAAGACAAAGACCGGAAACAAACUAAAGCGCCCUUGUGGCGCUUUAGUUUU
rnacentral:sRNA from 1 species